UUAAGCGACUAAGCGUACACGGUGGAUGCCGGCAGUCAGAGGCGAUGAAGGACGUGCUAAUCUGCGAAAAGCGUCGGUAAGGUGAUAUGAACCGUUAUAACCGGCGAUGUCCGAAUGGGGAAACCCAGUGUGAUUCGUCACACUAUCGUUAACUGAAUACAUAGGUUAACGAGGCGAACCGGGGGAACUGAAACAUCUAAGUACCCCGAGGAAAAGAAAUCAACCGAGAUUCCCCCAGUAGCGGCGAGCGAACGGGGAGCAGCCCAGAGUCUGAAUCAGCUUGUGUGUUAGUGGAACGGUCUGGAAAGUCCGACGGUACAGGGUGAUAGUCCCGUACACCAAAAUGCACAGGCUGUGAACUCGAAGAGUAGGGCGGGACACGUGGUAUCCUGUCUGAAUAUGGGGGGACCAUCCUCCAAGGCUAAAUACUCCUGACUGACCGAUAGUGAACCAGUACCGUGAGGGAAAGGCGAAAAGAACCCCGGCGAGGGGAGUGAAAAAGAACCUGAAACCGUGUACGUACAAGCAGUGGGAGCACCUUCGGGUGUGACUGCGUACCUUUUGUAUAAUGGGUCAGCGACUUAUAUUCUGUAGCAAGGUUAACCGUAUAGGGGAGCCGCAGGGAAACCGAGUCUUAACUGGGCGUUAAGUUGCAGGGUAUAGACCCGAAACCCGGUGAUCUAGCCAUGGGCAGGUUGAAGGUUGGGUAACACUAACUGGAGGACCGAACCGACUAAUGUUGAAAAAUUAGCGGAUGACUUGUGGCUGGGGGUGAAAGGCCAAUCAAACCGGGAGAUAGCUGGUUCUCCCCGAAAGCUAUUUAGGUAGCGCCUCGUGAAUUCAUCUUCGGGGGUAGAGCACUGUUUCGGCUAGGGGGUCAUCCCGACUUACCAACCCGAUGCAAACUACGAAUACCGAAGAAUGUUAUCACGGGAGACACACGGCGGGUGCUAACGUCCGUCGUGAAGAGGGAAACAACCCAGACCGCCAGCUAAGGUCCCAAAGUCAUGGUUAAGUGGGAAACGAUGUGGGAAGGCACAGACAGCCAGGAUGUUGGCUUAGAAGCAGCCAUCAUUUAAAGAAAGCGUAAUAGCUCACUGGUCGAGUCGGCCUGCGCGGAAGAUGUAACGGGGCUAAACCAUGCACCGAAGCUGCGGCAGCGACACUAUGUGUUGUUGGGUAGGGGAGCGUUCUGUAAGCCUGCGAAGGUGACCUGUGAGGGUUGCUGGAGGUAUCAGAAGUGCGAAUGCUGACAUAAGUAACGAUAAAGCGGGUGAAAAGCCCGCUCGCCGGAAGACCAAGGGUUCCUGUCCAACGUUAAUCGGGGCAGGGUGAGUCGACCCCUAAGGCGAGGCCGAAAGGCGUAGUCGAUGGGAAACAGGUUAAUAUUCCUGUACUUGGUGUUACUGCGAAGGGGGGACGGAGAAGGCUAUGUUAGCCGGGCGACGGUUGUCCCGGUUUAAGCAUGUAGGCUGGUUGUCCAGGCAAAUCCGGAUAAUCAAGGCUGAGGUGUGAUGACGAGGCACUACGGUGCUGAAGUAACAAAUGCCCUGCUUCCAGGAAAAGCCUCUAAGCAUCAGGUAACAUCAAAUCGUACCCCAAACCGACACAGGUGGUCAGGUAGAGAAUACCAAGGCGCUUGAGAGAACUCGGGUGAAGGAACUAGGCAAAAUGGUGCCGUAACUUCGGGAGAAGGCACGCUGGUGUGUAGGUGAAGUCCCUGCGGAUGGAGCUGAGACCAGUCGAAGAUACCAGCUGGCUGCAACUGUUUAUUAAAAACACAGCACUGUGCAAACACGAAAGUGGACGUAUACGGUGUGACGCCUGCCCGGUGCCGGAAGGUUAAUUGAUGGGGUUAUCCGUAAGGAGAAGCUCUUGAUCGAAGCCCCGGUAAACGGCGGCCGUAACUAUAACGGUCCUAAGGUAGCGAAAUUCCUUGUCGGGUAAGUUCCGACCUGCACGAAUGGCGUAAUGAUGGCCAGGCUGUCUCCACCCGAGACUCAGUGAAAUUGAACUCGCUGUGAAGAUGCAGUGUACCCGCGGCAAGACGGAAAGACCCCGUGAACCUUUACUAUAGCUUGACACUGAACAUUGAGCCUUGAUGUGUAGGAUAGGUGGGAGGCUUUGAAGCGUGGACGCCAGUCUGCGUGGAGCCAACCUUGAAAUACCACCCUUUAAUGUUUGAUGUUCUAACGUUGGCCCCUUAUCGGGGUUGCGGACAGUGUCUGGUGGGUAGUUUGACUGGGGCGGUCUCCUCCCAAAGCGUAACGGAGGAGCACGAAGGUUAGCUAAUCCUGGUCGGACAUCAGGAGGUUAGUGCAAUGGCAUAAGCUAGCUUGACUGCGAGCGUGACGGCGCGAGCAGGUGCGAAAGCAGGUCAUAGUGAUCCGGUGGUUCUGAAUGGAAGGGCCAUCGCUCAACGGAUAAAAGGUACUCCGGGGAUAACAGGCUGAUACCGCCCAAGAGUUCAUAUCGACGGCGGUGUUUGGCACCUCGAUGUCGGCUCAUCACAUCCUGGGGCUGAAGUAGGUCCCAAGGGUAUGGCUGUUCGCCAUUUAAAGUGGUACGCGAGCUGGGUUUAGAACGUCGUGAGACAGUUCGGUCCCUAUCUGCCGUGGGCGCUGGAGAAUUGAGGGGGGCUGCUCCUAGUACGAGAGGACCGGAGUGGACGCAUCACUGGUGUUCGGGUUGUCAUGCCAAUGGCACUGCCCGGUAGCUAAAUGCGGAAGAGAUAAGUGCUGAAAGCAUCUAAGCACGAAACUUGCCCCGAGAUGAGUUCUCCCUGAGACUUUAAGUCUCCUGAAGGAACGUUAAAGACGAUGACGUUGAUAGGCCGGGUGUGUAAGCGCAGCGAUGCGUUGAGCUAACCGGUACUAAUGAACCGUGAGGCUUAACCU
rnacentral:rRNA from 1 species